CAACAUUGGUGUCGGCUUCCCGGUGAUCAUCAAGGCUGGGGGCCCGUGCCGAAGCUCUUUCAUUGCACUUCGGAAGGCUGGAGCAUGUCACUACCUGUUAACCGGGGCAGAUGAAGCACGCGUAAUUUUUUGUAGUGGGGCUGGUCGUACGCUCCAGCCCUU